UAUUUUUUUAUCAUUUAAGCAAGCAAGAAAGAAAGAAAUGUUAAAAUAGUGCAGGCUGUAGCUAUUGUAGUGGCGUUGCAAUAGCUUGAAAACACAAUUAUUUUCCAUAACCUGUGUCUUUAAUUGGCUCUAACGCAAAGGUCUGCUUAGCCAUUUAAAGAAUAUUAUAUGCAGAUCGUAAUUCCAAAGCUAAUCCUCUAAUAACGAAAGGUUGUUAUUUCAAGUUACUCUUGAGCUACAGCGGGGUGAACUUUACGCGCCAAAACAAGCUAUAAAUUCCCGCCGGUAAGCUCGUGCUGUAAAUAGCUGACAGAGAGGUGUGAAUAUGAAAGUUUGCCCAAUGUCGUGAUUUACGGUUCUAAUGAUUAUAGGGCAUGAAUCAAUUGAUGCUAGCAUGUCAUUAGGCGGAGUUCCAUCAGAAACGGCCAAAGGCUUCAACUUGGAGCCACGGGCGCUUUGCGGGGUUGACAAGUACAACCUAAAUGAACGUCAUAAAACUCAAAAAGGUGCCAAUUACAUCUACUAAGUGGCCCGUCAUUGAGAAAUAUAUACACAAAUAUUACUGCUAGCUACCUGUGAAGCACGGGUGUGUGAAAGGACCUCCAUUGCAGGUGAAUAUGCUGAGACGAAACUGCUGUUUAUGAAAUGGCAGGUUUUGUAAUGCGAGCAAAAAGAGUUUAGACAGGAAAAUGUGAUUUACACUAACCUAAUAUCUGAUUGACAUUCAGUGUUAGAAAUCAUAACCUAAAAAGAACCUUGAGAAAUCAAAAACAAAAAAAAAAAAAAACCUUUCACAUGUUUGGCCUGUCUCGGCUCUAGCUGCCGUCUCCAGGGUAAUGGAAUAUAAGACCACAGCUAUGAAAUUAAUUUUGUUAACACUAACUCUUCACGGUCGAGCUGAAAGAAUCGGCGACUAUUAAAGUCAGGCAGUAGAUAUGGCCCUUUAAUUGUUGCUUGGUGUCCGAUAGGGACCUCCCAGUUAUCACCAUGAGAGAGGGAACGAUAUUUCAAAACCCCUGACACAAAAGCUAGCUAAAGUAGUGACAAACACGGGGAGAAGACAUGCAACUUAAGGCGACAUGCGGUCCACUCACAGCUUCAGGACCGGGCCCGUGACAGGACAGUGACAUGCGGAACAUGGGCGGCAGCCUCCGAGAUGAGCAGAUCUUCAUUUCCUGUUCCUGCUCAGAGCAGGGUCAUACACAAGCGAUAUAUGACGAACAGUGACUGGUUCAGAGCAGAGCAAGAGCAUCCCGGCUUGCAUUUCUGACAGGGUGGCAGGGAAACUGCGUUCCAGGUCGAAGAUGCGGCUGAAGAACAAUAGCUGUGGAUGCUCUCACACUGAUUCUAAUUAUCAGGGCAGCGCUCCGACUCCGUCGCCGUCAGCCCUCGCUUCUCCAUUAAUCUUGUGCUGUCGCCCACCUCACUAAACCCAGUGCUGUUACACUAUCUCUGCUUUACUUCAUCUGCGGAGCCUGCGUUAGGCUGUAAUUAAUGAAUCCCCCCUCCCCUCGUGCUGGGUCUGCUGCUUCUAAUCACAGCCUGCUUCGAGGAGAGAUGCGCCAUGAAAAGUGUUGAUGGGGAGGGGGGGUCAAUGUGAUAGUAAAUAUGUAUAACUAAACAAAGAGAAACUGCCAUUUUAAAACAAAAUCCUGUUGUUUUCACAUAAUUUGUUCUAGAUAUUCUGUAAUGACUUGUAAUGAAAUGAAAGCCAUUAUCAGUCUUGCGUAUCACCAAGUUCAUUUUCUUUUGUUUUUAACAAAAACUCCUAUCUAUGAACUGACUUGCACAACAUUCUUAUGGCAUUUUUGCUGUUACUAUUAUUAAUAAUAUUACUAACUUUUUUUUUUACCAUAAUAAUAAUAAUAAUAAUGCUGUUUUGUCACCUUAUUGCAGCUGCCUACACUCUCAAAAUUAUCAUGCGAUUUUUGGAGCCACAUACUGAAGAGGAAAUCAAUAGGAAAAUUACCUAUUUUCAUUUAAAAAUAUAAUAAUAAUUACUGAUAAUAUUUAUAAUAAUACUUAUACAAUUACUAACAUUAUUUGCAAUAAUAAUAAUAAUAAUACACUUUUUGUCACUUCAUUGCAGCUGCCUACUCUAUUAACAUAAUUAUUAACAUUAACAUAAUUAUUAACAUAAUUAUCUUUAUUAUUGGAGCUGACUUAUAGUACACCACAUACUGAAAAAGUAAUCGAUAGGAAAAUGACAAAAAGUUUUAAAUUGAUAAUAAUCCUAAUAAUAUAGUCAAAAAUAUCACUGUAUAGUCAAAAACCUUGUCUGCUUAGUUAGCAGUAUGUCGUAAGCUGAUUAUUGCAUCAAACAACUGAGAGCACAUACAGUAAAGUGAUACAACACAAAUGUAAAACAAUGUGUGCAUGUGUAUAUAUAUAUAUAUAUAUAUAUAUAUGUUAGCCAUACUCUCAGGGCCUACCUGAGCACCGCAGUCUACC